GUACACAGCUAGCAUCUGCAGAAAGCACUUCCUGCCUUGCUACUUUGCUCUGUUUCCCUGUUUGUCUCAUUUACAGUUAGGCCUCCCUCUGCAGCCUCCAGGAUUCUGAAAGAGGCCUUAUUUCCAAGGGCAGCCACGGUUAGCAACGUGCCAGCACCCUGGGAGCACCCUUCUGGAGGUCUGACUGCCCAGGCUCAGGGCCCACCUGGAGACAGCAUUGUUCUGAUGUGUGACACUCAUCAAUAAGGUAAAUGGAGCCAAGCUGCAGACACCUUAAAGAAACUUUCGGAAGGUUCCACAUCCCUUCCCACUGCAAAUCAGGUCCUUCACAGAUUUCACAGUGAGGUGAAAGGCACUAAAAAAAAAUAAGCUUUGAAAAUGUUUGUUGUCUGCCAUUUUAAAUUUGAAGGAGAAAAGAAUAAAGAACAAUCCACCCAGUUACUGACUCUCUAUUUGGCAAAGCACUGGCCAAUGAAUUUAGUAGUUAGACAAUAUCUGAGAGUUUCUCAACAAUUCUGUAAACAUAUACAUGGAAAAUGCUUAUGGAGAUAAUACUUUCUAUUUCUAAUAUUUUUCCAUUCAAAAUAAAUGAGAUUAGAUAUUCUCAGCUGAUUUAAAUAAGGAGAUACAAUGCAAUAUGUAAGAGUGCUUGCAGCUGGAGUCAACAGAGACAACUGUUCAGGCACUGUGUAGUUCUGGUAUUCCCAGCAAAGUCUCCUGUGCCACCUUUUAUGUGUCACUGAAAUUCUUAAAUAUUCCUAAAGGGAAGAGAUAAUGAGAAACGGAGAAGCAGGAGGAAGUGUAAUCCAACAAAUCCUGGAGUGCCCUUUCAUUUUUUGAAGAAGGCACACAGACUAAUGAAAACACUGGCCUGAUUUCUGCCUUAGUAGAUUUGCUAACAGGGAAACAUGUCCAUUUUUUAAAUAACAAGAAUUUCUUAAAUACUUCCCUAUCACUGAAAGUCACUCCUUGCAGGAGUUACCACUAAAACCUACCCGCAUUACAACCGCUAGAUGUAUUGAGAGAGAAGAAGAGAUGUGAAAGCACUAGCUGUCUAGAAAUAAUAAGUAGAGAGAUUCUAAGUAUUUUAAACUCAAACAGCUAAUUAAGUUAAUCCAAUAUGUUCACUUUGUAAAUAAGAUAUAACAUUGAAAAAUAUGGAAGCGUGAUAUUUCUGGAAUUAAAAAGGAAUUGUAACAUUAGCAUUGUCUGCCAAGGCACUGCAGCUCUGCACAAUACCCAAUAUACCCACCUAUUUAAAAUGGAUUGCCCCAAAAGACACAAUGCAAGAGCAUCAAAACGUAGGUGGAAAAAGUGGGCAGACAUAAAACAACAUCAACAUCCCAUUCUGAUGAUGUGAUAAUGCAUCAGAGAAGGUAGGCAGAGAAAGGCUAAACUAAAAUGGCUGAAACACAUAUUUGGCAGGCUAACGUUUCAGAAAGAGCAUGAUAUGAUCCCAGUUUUAGGUUUAGUAAGUCUCAGCUACAGAGGGAGGUUCUCCAUCUGUGAAGUGCUUUCUGCAGAUCAGAUCAGCAGGCACAGGCAGAAGAAAACAGGCAAUCCUAGCAAAAAGAGUAUGACAGAACUAAACUAGGUCCAUGGUUUCCCAAGGGCAGAGAACACAUCGACUUCUGUGAUCCAGUGAGUCUUGUGAUGCCAGUAGUGUCUGUCACCACCCAGAAGUCAGAUCCGGAAUUACGUGACUUGUCUUCUCCUAUUUCAAUUUCGAACAUUUUUGAUCACAAAGAAAAAUGAAAACACAAAACCAACAGUUCGAAAUCUAGAAAAGAAGUAAACAGGUCUUCAAGACUAAUGAGAGGCUUUAUGCUUUUAGACAAUUUGAAUUUAAAGCUCUGGCACAGAACUGUCAAAAGGCAACCACUGGUAGUGGUUUAUCCUCCUUCUGAACGCAUCAUGGCUGUUUCUGAAAACUGUUUUGAAUAACAGAAAAAAGAGCCAACGUUGAGGGAGACACAAAAGAGCCAACCACCAAUGAAUCAUCUGAAGGCAUCCCCGAUGCACAUAAUUACCAUGCCAUUAAGCAACAGUCAUUGCAAUUAAGUAUUGUUUGGCUUAAAUCAGUUACCUGGAAUGUCUUCUGAUCAGGCCUGUUCCAAUUAAGUGGCACUUACUUAUUACCUUAAUCAUGCUGUAUCAGUUCAAAGCAGCAUAGUACAGCUUCACCUUGAAAACAAUCAGCCUAACAUUUGGCAACCAAAAGCAACAGCCCUCGAGUUCCCAAAUGAAAGAAAACCGAUAUAUAAGCAUAAAGCAUCGCUAUAUUGUCUCCUCACAUUUCCUUUUGUUCCUAGAAUUCUACUCACAUAAUUAUUAAAGCUGCUACCAGUUGAAGAAGUUCUGUUUAAAAACAAAAGAGAUUAAAUGCAUACUAAAUGCCACACAUUGUGCUACUGCCUAGCAGGAAGAUGCCAGGGAGAACAUUAAACACCGAAUCAGCAGGACAAUGCUUAAAUCUCUCACUACAAUUUCAUUUGUAGGAACUGAAAUAUCUGUACUCCCUGUCCUCCCACACAACUGGCUGCGUGUGUCAGUUUUAAGCACGUUUUGCCAUACUAACUUAACUGAGCUCAUUGUUCCAGUAUGCAUACCUCUUCCGUUUUAGAGUAUUGUUUAUUGCUCAUUCAAAACCAAUAGGUUUCACUCAAAAAAAAUAACCACACUACUUCUUACCUGUAAUCAUUUAAUUAAGGCACAUAUAAAAAUGUAAGAAAAUGUUACACGGGUGGCAUUUUUACUGCUUGGCUGUAAAAUAACCGGAGUUUUCAGACAGACAAAUAUAUCUAAAUAAACAUCAACUUGUGCAUAGCAAUGUGAACGUGUAUUUCGGUUUUCAGUUGAUGGAUGAAAAUAAAAGGAAAACAAACAA